rfam:Capsicum annuum cultivar Zunla-1 chromosome 5, whole genome shotgun sequence
AUCUCAUGGUGAGGGCAUUUCAAGAGAUUCUCCUUAAAUCUUCCCUAAGCUUCGUACCACGGUUCUUCAUGAAAUUGGUGCAAACUAACAAUUUUAUCCUGCAACU